ensembl:snRNA U2 U2 spliceosomal RNA
CUCACUUCUCAGCCUUUUAUCUAAAGUCAAGGGUAGUUUCUGUUCUCAUCAAAUUAAUUGCUGAUAGGUUCUCUACUCAAAAACAAUAUACUAAAUGGGUUUUUAGAAAUAGGUGAUGGAAUAGGCACUUGCUCCAUCUAUUCUUCGUAUCAUGAUGUUUCUGGAAUUCUUGGAGGUAUCAUAGUACCUCCA